AGAUCCAUCAGUGGGAGCUGCGAACCCAUUCACUUUGACCAUGACACCGAUGAGUUGUUUUGAUGUAGAAAGAAGGAGCGAAAACCAACUCUGCUGUUCCCAUUCGCAUCCAAAAUGGCUGUGAUCUGACACCAUGUGAAAGAGAGACUUGGCUUCUCUCAGAGGGAUCCUGUUGCUGAGGUAGAAAAUAAAAUAACCUUCAUUCAGUCUGAGCACCAGAAAGACGUAUCAUCGUCGUCAACACGGCAACAGAAGAGGUACAAGUUGAGAAAGUGGGAUAAUAACAUUCAUACUUGUGGUAUAUAAAAACUUUUUUUUUUCAUGAUCGAUUAUCAAAUCUUUGUCUGUGGUAAAA